UAUACCAAAAACUGUAGAGUACUUGGUAGAGUUGUGAUAAACUUUAUUUUUAUUGUAACCUUAAAGUAGUUCCGUGCAGUGGUCGCGUGCUUUCUGCGAUUAAAAGUUAGACGUACAUUGUGAAACAGACGAAGAGUACGAGACAGACACAAAGGAUGGGACGCAUAGUAAAUAUCAAUUAUUUGUCACUUGUAGGUAGAUUGUAUGGGAAUGACUUGUGAUGUGUUUGAACUACGUUUAGCUUGCCUAUACGUAAGUUUGUGUUCUUGAAAGGCGACGCCAGCGCCCGGCUAGACUGGGCAGCUGCCCAGGCUCUUCAUUCUCUCAUCCUGAAAUUCGAAAUGUCAUCGCAAUGGUCUCUCUCUCACUCAGAACAUUGAAACAGCUCCAGGAAGUAGUCGUGAAACAGUGGUGUUUAGAUGUCGAAUCGUCGCGAGUUGUGGUUUAUGAAUCAGGGAAAAAUUGUUGCUGAAUUUAUCGUUUCUUGCUAUGCACAUGAAGUGUUUGGUGAAAUGUCUGAACCAUACUCUUUUGUUUUUCUGUGUUGAAAUCUCUUGGUAUGAGUUGGUGUUUACUUAGAGUUGCUUAACUUUGUUUAUAUUUGAUAUUGUUUUUGGAAUACACUUAUAAUCCUUAUGCUUGUAAUUUCUUUUACUAAAGAAAUGAAUAUAAAGAAGUGAAGGAUGUUGUGUUUUGUUGCAUCAGUAGCUUAAUGUAGAGUUUCACUUACCUUAUAGACAGCCAAAUCCACUUUGUUGAAGUUUAUUUUCAUGACCACAAUUUCCAGUAGCUUUCAUAAUCGUUUUAAAAUUGACAAACAGUAGAUUUGGAUGUGUGUUGCUUUGAGCAUCAUUCUCUUCACUAUAGAAAUCUUGGUUUAACAACAUAUUUCAUUCUCAUCAAUGAACAUGCAUAAGAUUUAGCAACCUAUAGGUCCAGUAGGAAAUAACGUAUUUCAUUCUCAUCAAUGAACAUGCAUAAGAUUUACCAACCUUCAUUAACACAAGCAUGUUGUAAAAUACAUAUGAAUUACUUUCCCUCAAAUCCUUUUGCAUCUUUAAAAACUUGAUAUAUGUUCUUGAAAACCAGAUAUGAUUGCUUUAAGUCAAUAAAAAUCAGAAUGACACAAUCUAUUAAUCUUGAUACAUAUGUUCGGGUGUGUGCUCAUUUUCUCUUCAUUAUCAUAUUUAGAUUUUGACAUGAAUGAAUGAACCAAAGUGAAUUGAAUUUCAAUUUCUUGUGUAGAGAAUGAUGUGUGAGGGAUGUGCCACUGCAAAAAAAAUGCCAUAUUGUGACACUCAUUUCUAGUGAUGGCUAACUAUUUGUCACUAAAUAUCACUUUUACCUACAGUUUUACUCUAUUAUUAAUAUUUGUCACGAAAGACCACUUUUACCUACAGUUUUACUCUAUCACUAAUAUUUGUCACUAAAUAUUACUUUUACCUACAGCUUUACUCUAUCACUACU